rnacentral:rRNA from 1 species
AUUGAACGCUGGCGGCAUGCCUUACACAUGCAAGUCGAACGGCAGCACGGGAGCAAUCCUGGUGGCGAGUGGCGAACGGGUGAGUAAUAUAUCGGAACGUGCCCGGUCGUGGGGAUAACGUAGCGAAAGCUACGCUAAUACCGCAUACGAUCUAUGGAUGAAAGCGGGGGAUCGCAAGACCUCGCGCGAUUGGAGCGGCCGAUAUCAGAUUAGGUAGUUGGUGAGGUAAAGGCUCACCAAGCCGACGAUCUGUAGCUGGUCUGAGAGGACGACCAGCCACACUGGGACUGAGACACGGCCCAGACUCCUACGGGAGGCAGCAGUGGGGAAUUUUUGGACAAUGGGCGCAAGCCUGAUCCAGCAAUGCCGCGUGCAGGAUGAAGGCCUUCGGUUGGUAACUAGCUUUUGUUACGGUAACGGAAAAGGUUU